rnacentral:misc_RNA from 1 species
GAUGAAGAACGUAGCGAAAUGCGAUAAGUAGUGUGAAUUGCAGAAUUCAGUGAAUCAUCGAAUCUUUGAACGCACAUUGCGCCCGCUAGUAUUCUGGCGGGCAUGCCUGUCCGAGCGUCAUUUCAACCCUCAAGCCCCCGGGCUUGGUGUUGGGGAUCGGCGAGCCUCCGCGCCCGCCGUCCCCUAAAUCUAGUGGCGGUCUCGCUGUAGCUUCCUCUGCGUAGUAGCACACCUCGCACUGGGAAACAGCGCGGCCACGCCGUUAAACCCCCAACUUCUGAACGUUUGACCUCGGAUCAGGUAGGAAUACCCGCUGAACUUAAGCAUAUUAAUAAGCGGAGGA